AGUGAACGCUGGCGGUAGGCCUAACACAUGCAAGUCGAACGGCAGCACAGGAGAGCUUGCUCUCUGGGUGGCGAGUGGCGGACGGGUGAGGAAUACAUCGGAAUCUACUCUGUCGUGGGGGAUAACGUAGGGAAACUUACGCUAAUACCGCAUACGACCUACGGGUGAAAGCAGGGGACCUUCGGGCCUUGCGCGAUUGAAUGAGCCGAUGUCGGAUUAGCUAGUUGGCGGGGUAAAGGCCCACCAAGGCGACGAUCCGUAGCUGGUCUGAGGGGAGGAUCAGCCACACUGGAAAUGAGACACGGUCCAGACUCCUACGGGAGGCAGCAGUGGGGAAUAUUGGACAAUGGGCGCAAGCCUGAUCCAGCCAUACCGCGUGGGUGAAGAAGGCCUUCGGGUUGUAAAGCCCUUUUGUUGGGAAAGAAAUCCAGCUGGCUAAUACCCGGUUGGGAUGACGGUACCCAAAGAAUAAGCACCGGCUAACUUCGUGCCAGCCGCCGCGGUAA
rnacentral:rRNA from 1 species